rnacentral:misc_RNA from 1 species
GUGCAUUCUGGGGUCAUUUUGGCUAUUAGCUGCUUGCCUGGCAUUUGAGCUUGGUGGGUGGYUGUUAGUUGGGUGAUUUCGGGGAUGUCUACCGUAAAGGUGCAUGAGUGGUGUUUGGUUUGUUACGGGUGGUUGGCUCUUUGCUUGUGCAACAACUUCCACCUGGCAUACCUYUUCAGUCUUGUGUCAAUGCUUGUAUCGCAUUGAAUGCACGGUGGGUUUCUUGUGUUGCGUACCUAAUUGAUGGUAUCAUUUGAARAAUUGAUGUCCAUUUUCGUCUUGUGUCGCACGUGYGAUGUGAGAUGAACCUUGAAGCAGCCUUUGUGUUCCAYUCUUUYGAUGCACACACAUUUAUUUUGUGGCCCAUUGAGUGUUGCUUGGUCUCAUGGAUAUGGAACCYGGUGUGGGCAUGGGAUCUUUUACUAGUUCCUUGUUUGCCCUAUUUUAGUUUUUCUAAAACGAUUGUCUAUCAUGUUUUAAUGUGGUAGGCUAUAUCGAAUAUGAAUGCUACCUGGUUGAUCCUGCCAGUAGUCAUAUGCUUGUCUCAAAGAUUAAGCCAU